GUGCCCUGUGCCACAUACAGUGGUAGGAGCUCAGGGGCUAUUUUGUCCAGUGGGGAACUAUGGACUGAUGAGACACAGCCAUCAUCACCUUGGAGGCCAGAAACACAAAUUAAAGAAAAUAUUCUGCAAAAUGUUUCUUAUGCAGAUGCAAAUUUCUCUCCAGAUCCUAGAAGUAGCCAGCCCAAUCUUGUCAGGAACUAAGUGCCUACAACUCCUAAUGAAGUCAACAGUGGAUGAGGGAGCUCAGUCAGCACCUUGCAGGACUGGACCUAAAUCAUCCAUGCUUUUCAUAGAC